AUUGAACGCUGGCGGCAUGCCUUACACAUGCAAGUCGAACGGCAGCACGGGUGCUUGCACCUGGUGGCGAGUGGCGAACGGGUGAGUAAUACAUCGGAACGUACCUUAUCGUGGGGGAUAACGCAGCGAAAGCUGUGCUAAUACCGCAUACGCCCUGAGGGGGAAAGCGGGGGAUCGCAAGACCUCGCGCGAUUAGAGCGGCCGAUGCCUGAUUAGGUUGUUGGUGGGGUAAAAGCCCACCAAGGCGACGAUCAGUAGCUGGUCUGAGAGGACGAUCAGCCACACUGGGACGAAGACACGGACCAGACUCCUACGGGAGGCAGCAGUGGGGAAUUUUGGACAAUGGGGGCAACCCUGAUCCAGCAAUGCCGCGUGAGUGAAGAAGGCCUUCGGGUUGUAAAGCUCUUUUGUCAGGGAAGAAACACCGGCUCUAACACAGUCUGGGAAUGACGGUACCUGAAGAAUAAGCACCGGCUAACUACGUGCCAGCAGCCGCCGUAA
rnacentral:rRNA from 1 species